rnacentral:lncRNA from 1 species
AUGGCCCGAAAGAAGACAAAUGAAUCUACGUCACUGAACAAAGAAUCGCUGACCUCUGGACUAUUGUCAAUGGAUGACAACCUGCCAGAUAUACAAGGAGAAUAUUCUGAAAGAGAUUUGAAUACCAACGAAGGGGAGAAUAAUGCAGGCCCACUCACUGAUGCCUAUUCCACACCAGAGACCCAGCCUAGUUCAUUGAAAGCUUACGGCACUAUCCAACCUUCUGAGGGCACAACUUGCAAUUUGAAUACUGAAGAAAGUACGGAAAAUCCAGUUACAGAUAGUUUGUCUAUUGCCACUCCAGAUGACAAAAUCCAUGGGGAGAGAACAGUGCAAAAACCUGCUCAGGCAUCCAAGUCAGUUCAGGCUAAGUCAUCAAAGUCUGUUCAUGUUGAGUCAUCAAAGUCUGAUCAGGCUGAGUCAUCCAAGUCUGAUCAGACUGAGUCAUCCAAGUCUGGUCAGGAUGAGGCAUCCAAGUCUGUUCAGGAUGAGGCAUCCAAGUCUGUUCAGGAUGAGGCAUCCAAGUCUGUUCAGGAUGAAGCAUCCAAGUCUGUUCAGGAUGAAGCAUCCAAGUCUGUUCAGGAUGAGGCAUCCAAGUCUGUUCAGGAUGAGGCAUCCAAGUCUGUUCAGGAUGAGUCCUCCAAGUGUGUUCAGGAUGAAUCAUCCAAGUCUGUUCAGGAUGAGUCAUCCAAGUCUUUUCAGGAUGAGGCAUCCAAGUCGGUUCAGGAUGAGUCAUCCAAGUCUGUUCCGGAUGAGGCAUCCGGGUCAACACAAGUUGGGUCAUCUAAGUCAGCUCAGUUACACUCAAUUUCUUCCACUAAUUUGGGAGAUGAUACUAAACAACAAGAACGUAAAGGGACAAAGUCCACCAAUCAGAAUAUCCUAAGUGAGAAGACCAAGAAGGAUAACACCAAAAAUAAUAAUAAUAAUAAUAAAGGGGAUCAGAAACAAACCAUGGAUACAAAUACGGAUGAUACUCACCAAUCCAAGAAGCAAGUGAAAAGUGGUCCACCCGACCAACAAGGGAAGCAACAACCGACUGAUAAACAAGGCCCUGCUGCUGAAAAGAAGCAACACACUGGUUCAAGCGUUGACACAGAGGCUAAGGUUGAAGGUUCAGGGACUAAGCUGUCAGCUGCUGAGGGAGGAGACGUACCAGAAUGCCCUGAAAACAUCGAAAAGACCGGAGACAAUCAAGAAUCUGAGGACCGCGUUGAACCUUCACCAAAAAUGUGAACCAGAGUCAUCAGUAGAAGAGAGUCUAAAUUGCAAAACAUAAAUGGAAAAUGUAUCUCCUUGACCAUUUUAUUAACAUUUUGUCUUUUUUACAUUUUAGGAUAAACAAUGCAAACCCAACAGUUGCUGCAAGGGACAGGCUCACAAUCUUCUUUCAUGCGGUUUUGCCAAAGGAAUUUGAACUUGAGAAGGCCGACCGAAUAUUUAUCAGAGCUGGCAAACAUCUUGGGACAUGGAACGAGGACUUGGUUGAGGUUUUUACGACCAAGUAAGUACUUAUGCUGUACUUUAUUGCUCCUAAAUCUAUGAUAUGAAACUUUAUUUAUUGAUAUUCGUCAUUGACUCAGAGUCUGUACCAAGCCUUAACGGAUUCUUUUGUGUGCUAUGUUUUUUUUUUAUUACAGUGAUCAUGGGAAGUUUGGACAUUUAGUUGGGGGAAAAUUUGUGACCACAAAAAAAAACACCCUGGAUAACAGCAUACCAUACAAAUAUGUUGUCUACAAGGCCAAAAAGAAAAAAUAUAUAUAUGAAUACAUUUACAAAUUAGAUUCAGAGCAUAUAACAAAUCGAUGUUUGUUUGUGAAGUCCAAACUCCUCAAUGAGGAAGGUAAGAGGUGCAACAAUUCUUUGUUCAUUCGUUACAUUUUCAUACGUGCAUAAGUACAUGUCCAAUUAAACAUGUGAUAUAUUUUUAUGUGAAAGGGGACUGGCAUCAGUAUGAUGACAUCGUCUAUCUAUCCAAGGAUGGAUACAAACACAUAAAUCAGAAGAAUGUCGUCCGAGGCAGAGAGAUUGCAGGAACCAUCAUGCUAGACACAAUAUUUGAUCUCCUUCGGAAUUGGACUGACAUCAACUUGAAGAAUUUCUUCAUCCAAUUGAAACAGUUCUUUGACAUUUAUGGAAACCCAUUUGUGUAUGAGGAGGACACAUCGAAAAAGUGGAACUCUCUCAAAUUUGGAGAGAAGGAAGUAAGGACUUUUCUUCAUAUAUAUAUAUACAUAUAAAAAAAAUGCUAACAUUGUUUGCAGUAAGGAAUAUU